UAGGUUUUUAUUUAUGUAACUUUUAAUUUACCUGAAUUAAUUUUAUAAUCCAUUAACUUUAAUUUAAUUUAGUUAAAAAAAUAUAUUAACUUACCCAACUCUGGUGAUGUCGCAAAUAAAUCCAAAGACUAUUUUCUGCGUAUCUGCAGCAGCGAAAUCUGUAUUCUUUAAGAUUAUAUCGAUUCUAAUUUGACUUGCCUUAUCAUAUACUUAUUGUCUUGAAUCUCCGUUUAGUUAUUUAGAAAAAGUCAAUUUGUCAAUAUAUUAUAUAAAAUAAAUUUCAUCGAACAUACAACACUAAUUAAAGUAUUGGAGUAGAAUAUUUUUAGAAUGAGAUAUGAUAAAUACAUUUGUAAUUGGAUCAGCGAUAAAUUGGAGAUUUAAAUAAAAUAUUCAACUCUUGAUUGUCAAAUUACGCAUUAGUUUUAUAAUAUUAGAUUUAUAAUAUUUUAGUAUCUUCAGGAAAGAUCUCAUAAUGAUCGAAAUUGUCGUAAUAGCGAAAUAUCCAUUUACGACGAAUAUAAGCAGGUUGUUUUCCUCCACACAUCGUACAACAAAGAAUAAUAAAGAAACGAUAAUCUAUUAACGGAAUGAUUUGUCAUAUACGGGGAUCGGUGUGUAAAGAAUAUUAAUUGCUUCAUCGAUGAUUCUACGCGGAAGAUGGUUGGUCUACAACGUAGAAAAAUUCUAAGAGACGAGUAUGGAAGCAUUAGAGUGUUAAUGAAACGAGAGUUUUCGAUUCGCUUUUGAGACAGAAAAACGAUAAUCGAGAAAACUUCGCAGGAGAGACAUUCCAACAAAGAACUAUUCACGAACAAAUAUAUCUCUUCAAAGAGAUAUUCCUAAGAAGACAUUUGUUAAGAAUUAUUUUUAAAAAGCGUAUCCUAUGGGAAAGGAUUAUCUGAAGGAGAAAUUUAUAGAAACAUCUACCGGGAGAAGGAAGAACGAUUUCAAAGGGAUACUUUCAAUCGGAGUAUUCGUAAACGGAAAUACAGUCGGAGAAAAAUUCUUGAAAAGAUUAUACUCGCUUAAAGAGAAAUUUUCAUAAAUGCGUUUCUCCGAUGAAAUGUAAUGAUAUAUUUAGAAAAAAUACCACAAAUGAGACACAAUAAGGAGAUAAUUAUUCAUAAAACGAUUCGCGAUGAUUUCAAGGAAUUCUUUCGGAGACAUUCUAGGACUUCGAAAACACUACUAAAGAACUGUCGGUGACACUUUUAUAUCAAAGAGAAAGACACACACUUUCUUUCUCUCUUUCUCUCUUUUUUUCACAGGAUAACAAGGGAUAACAAUCACUGUUUUUCCUUGAUUCUUUUGAAGAGAACAUUUUUCGGAAAAAAAAAAAAGUUCGCGAAGCUUAUUUCUUCUUUUCUUUUCUCUGUGAUCGUUUCUUAUUUUCAAAAAUUGCUUUUCUUUCCUGGAUUCUCUCAGCAGAGAUUGAUAAUCUCUUUGUCACAGCUGAUAGGCAAGAAUGACAUUCGAAGUGGCGUUCAUGCAAGCGCCGUAUGACGUCGCGACGCUGGAUCGACGAAUUGAGCGUCGCAACUUCGGUUUUACGUAAUGUCAAUUUGUUGCUAUUGCUGCUGGUGCUACCAACACUGUUGGGAGGGACUCGUCAAGGUCACGGGUUGUGGAAAACGCGCCGCAGACCCGUAACAAGACGCAGCCAAAGUCGUCGUUGAUUCUACUAAUUUAGUGAGAAGCAAAGCGUUCCAUCAGUCAAGCUGAAUCAGCGGAAGCCUUUGCAGAAGGCGAAGUAAGUGAAGACACCCAAGGUAAUUCUGUAAAUCGAUCGAUUUAACGAUCAAUUUAGUAGAUCGAGGAAAACGUGCAAAAGUAGAAGAAGAAGAAGAAGAAGAAGAAACGAAGAAACCAAGAAAAAAUCAGAUAAGGAAUUGAAGAACAAAUACAAGCAGAAAAAAUUUAAGAAAUCGAGAGCAAAGAAAAAACUACAAAUUUUGAAGAAAUUUACAACGAAGAUCAACUUGUAUAUUAAAGAAAGGAUUGUCAAAGUGGAGUUAAAGUAGUAAAGUUGAAAGAUUUCAAAAUUAAUCGAAGUGAGAAAGACGUUCGGUGAGAGACAGUGUACUACUUAGUUCAAGUGAACCGUAGCAAUGGUACUUGUAUGGAAACGACAUUGAGGAAGGUAGUUUUAGGGGAAAGGACUGUAAAGGAUUCGGGAAAAAGUUCCGAGGAAAAAAAACAGAAGAAAGACGGUUAAUGUGAGACAGGUAGACAGCUUUGGAGGAAGAACCGAAACUUAAGAAAACAUCCGCGGGAGUCCGAGAAGGAAACAGAACCAAGUGAGAUAUCAUCGGCCGUUCUUAAAGAAAACACCCAUCGUUUCAAGGCAACACUCGAGUAUCUUACUCGUGGAGGACACUGCAAGUGUCUUUUCCUGUCGAGAUAUCAUCAGACACGACGUCUCAUCGUCUUCCUGGAUCACCGAUCGCAUCUGAACGGCCUUCGCAGAAGCGCUCCAGGAAUUUGCGGAAAUUGCGCACGCGUUUACUGAAGUUUCGGAACGGCUGCCGCGCGAGUGCAUGACUCUCGCGUUUGUUGUGUUGUUUGUUAAUGAAAGUGUCCGGCCCGUUUUCGCAGAUCCGUCGUGACUCUCGGCUCGCGUGGACGCGCAUUAUCGAUUCUCGCGCAUCGAGUGUAUUCCCGUCGAAGUAGACCACUUUCAGAGAUUUUGAAAUUGUUUCAGAUUGGAAUACACCGAAUGCCCGACAUUGCUCGACGCUCCACAGAAGAUUUUUGGACGCAGGCAGGCAGACAAUGAGCGUUAGAAUUGUCGUGAGUGUCACUGAACUUACGAAUAUGGACGCCAAGGAUCGCUACGUCAUCGAAGGCAUUGCACUUUCCACAGCCACUGAGGAUGUCGGUGAAGGGCCCCAAGGGCACGAGAACGACACUGAUCCAUAUUCGUUGUCGCAUCUCGAUCCACCUACCGGUAGUGUCUAUAUGAUAGGUGGAGUGCUGAUUGCUAUGGUUCUGGUGGGCGUCUUAAUCGUCCUCCUUGCUGUAACGAUCAGCAAGCUGCGGAAACGCGAGGAUCAUCACUCGAGCUCGGGCGUGGUGCACCCCGAGACAACGGUGGUGCAGACGGCGACGUCGCUCACGACGAUCGGGACACCGACGGCACCUCCGGACGGUUGCUGCACGCAGAUGUCCACGACCACCAUGUCGACCGACCUCGGCAACAGCGUUUGCGACGAGCACGUAUUCGCCGCGACGACAGUGACACCGUCCGCCAAUCCGGUCGAUCCAUUCGCGUGGCAAUUCCCGCCCCCGUACCCGCCCCCCCACAUGCCGCCGGCGCAGUAUACGUUGUACAACGAUCAGGAUACCCUUGUACACGGUUUGCCGUCGGAUCGGCCUGGGUUUGCGAAGGGCUUCCGCAAGAAUCUUGGUGGACGCUGGCGUCGACUAGUGAAGCGGAAAGCGGAGACGGAGACCUGUGCCAUUCCUCCCGAGCUGAAGGAUCAGUUAAAAACUAUCUACGUUUACUGAUGGCCAAAAGCCUAUUCCGAAAGUCUGAGAGCCCCGAAAAAGGAAUUUGAAUUAUUUGAAUUAAUAAUAAAGGAUUGAUAGAAACACGAUGAUUAUUGAUAGAAAGAGGCUCUAGUCAAGAAGUCGAGGAAAACGUGAAAGAGAUUGAAAUGAAAAGAGAGAUUAGAAAAGACAUGAAGCUAACAGUGAUAUAAAGAGCGAAAUAGAAAAAAAAAUUUUUAGGAGAGUAUAAAAUGAUGGAAAAUCUAAAGAGACAGAAAAACAUUCGGGGAAGGAGUGGCGCAAAUCGAUACUCGGAUGCUGGCCAAUAAACAUAUCAGGAAGUGUGCCUAAAGAGGAUGCAACGAAGUGCCUUCUUUUAUUCCACAAGCGCCUUCUCAUGAGACUGAUACCGCGAAGAAAUCGCGAUACAUGGGUGCGACAAAGCGAGUUACCUCGUAGCUUCUGCGUAUGUUUUUGCGCAAUUAAUUAAUAGCCGACAAAUCACCGUACUUCGGAUAGUUAACUAGUAUUAGCGCGUCGGCUGGAUUUACGGACGAUGCGAGUGGUGUGUGAUCGACCAUUCGGUAAAUUAGAAUUCCACAAACAAUUCCAACUCCUGCUUUUUAGUUUUUGCAAUUUUGAUCAUAGCUCAAUUUUUACAACUUCUACAAAUCGAAGAAGUUGCAAAUUUGAGAGAAAAUUCAAUCGUGAAACUUUCAAUUCUUAUUUAUUAAGAGAUAAAAACAGCAUAUACAUUUUCCUAUUGAAGUGCAAACUAGUCGUAUAUUGAACGAGAAGACUUGCAGCUGCUGACGAUAUUAUCGUGCGAAUCACAUUCUUUGGCGAGGACAACGAAACAGUCCGUACUUUGUACCAUCUAUAAGUAUAUAGUGUAUGUUCGAAGUUAAAGCUAAAGAUCAGAUAUUAUAACUUAAGAAGAUCCUCUUUGAUUAUGAUUUCAUAUUUAAUUUAAUGAAUUUUACGGAAUAAACAAACUUGAUUUACUUUGGCUUUAUACGUGUCAUACGCGUGCGUUUUUUUCUUCUUGAGGCAGCUGAUUCUCAGUUCAUCUUAUGCGAAUGAAGUCGAUCGCCCGCUAUCUUGUUCCCGUAAUUGAUUUCGAGGCCGCCGACGUCAAAGUGUGUAAAUAAUGUGUAGCGAUCUCUCUGGACAAAGGUCCGCGGGAUAUACGAUUUAAUUAACGAACUUCGGUGUUCCUAAGAAUCCUCAGGGGUCUGCAAAAAGGUUCUAGGAUUUGAAAAAUCCUGCCGUUAUUAGAAUGGAAUGCGGCGCCUCGAAAUAAUACGAUAGGCCAAUUUAAAAUUAUUGAACUAUUACGACGGCUCAUAUUGAGUCCGCUUUAUUAUAAUGCUGACGUGAUAUUUCAUUUGUGCGCUUACGUUAACCCUUUGACUACUAUUUAAUGCAUAUUCGACGAUUAAAAUAUUAUAAAAUAUUACAAAUAUUUAAAAAUCACAUUCUUAAAGAAAAUCUCAAACACUGUUGAUUGAUUAUGAUAUUUAAUAUAAUUAUUUUUAUAUCUAACCCAACAUUUAAUUGAUAAUUUAGUAAUUUAAUAAUUAGCAAAUAUUCUCGAGAGGAUUAGAAUAAAUUUUAGUAUCUUUUAUUGGCAAACAAUAAGAAUGAUUCUUUGUAAUAAGUGAUUUUAUUUAUAGACACAUCAUAUACUUAAUGGAUUAAUUUUUGGUCGAAGGGUUAUAGCGUGACGCCAGAAAAGGAGCUUCUUGCGUCAGUGAUUAGUUUAAAGAAAUCGACGGAGAUGACGUUCGGUCGUUGGAGAAGUUUUGCGGAUUUGAUUAGUUAUUAAACUUAGGACAUACUUAAACACAAAACUUUAUUUUUACAAAAAAAGGAUAGGAAAAAUUAUGAUUAAAUUGUUUCUAUUAUAGAAAUUAUUGGCAUUAUUCGUGAAUAGAAAUUAUUUAUACAAUUUUAAUAACAACAAUUUUGCACGUAAUAAAAUUAUUUUAAUCACUUUUUAUUAUAUAUAUGUAUAUAAUUUUUUAAAAUAUUUUCUUAUACAUUUGCAUUUUCUAUCAGCGCAGAUAUUUAUUUUCGCGCUAUUCAAAUUCGGCAAAAAUUGAUAAUGCUUCACUAAUGACCGAAAAUCUAGAGGAUUAUGAUCCUCAGUAUAGUAUAGUAAAGUGUUAUUAGUAUAAUGAGUGAUCCGUCGAUUUUUAGAGUUAUUUUUAAGGGUAUAACCGGCAAUAUUUCUUGCGACGAAUUCAACGAAUAUUUUAUUGACUCGUAAUUUAAUUCUUUAAAUGUGUCGCAUUCGGAAAAGAAAGCAAGUUCCAAUUUUUUAUACGAUAAAAUAUCCCUUUUUGAUGUAUUAUUAUCUAUCUUAUGACAAUUCAAUGAUCCAUUCAUUAAGUGUUGAGGAAAAAGGAUAAUAUUUUAAAAAGAAAACAUUUGACUUUUGCGUAGCUGGCCAAAAUAAUUGAGUUUAUCAAUUAUCUGGAUGCAUAUUUCAAUUUGAAUAGAAAAUACUCGUAACGCGUAUUCAAUUUUAAUUUGAUGUUAUCAAUUGUCAUUUCGUUAUUGUCAGUAAUAUUAAUUUGUAGCGAGUAUAUUGUUAUACGAUGUCAGUGUGAAAUUGCGUUACGUAAAGGAUUCAAAUUUAAACAUUGUAUGUAAUUCGUUUUAUUAUUGUAUUCUAAAACAUAAAUUUAGGAGUGCCUUCACGUAGAAAAGAUAAGAUAAUUGCACAAGAUUAGUUGCAACACCAUGUGUAGUACGUUAACAGUCUCCGGUGCGCUCUACACUCAGUGAUCAAAUUUCUAAGUAGAAUCAUACCUUUUUGUUUAUGCAAUUAAUUGUAUGAUUCAAUUGCUUUGUGUAGAACAAAACGAAAAAAGAUCAAUAAGUCAUCUGUCACGAAUUAUUAAAUGCGUAUAUGCUGUAAACGCGGAUAUGCUAAACAUGGAUCCAGAUUGUACAGUGUAUAGUAAGUCAUUUCUGUUCCCUUUCUCCGUCUUUUUUUGUAAAUAGAAAGUAUCAGGACGGGAGGUCGCGCUUCCCGUCACCUAGUCACUCGUUCGAUUAAUUUUGUUAAAAUGUAGCUGUAACGAUGAAAAACAACCGACGCAGCUUAUUCUCCCCAAACAAUAAAGACAGCAAAUAAAAAAAAACAAAAA